UACGGAGGGGGCUAGCGUUGUUCGGAAUUACUGGGCGUAAAGCGCACGUAGGCGGCUUUGUAAGUUAGAGGUGAAAGCCCAGGGCUUAACCCCUGGAAUUGCCUUUAAGACUGCAUCGCUAGAAUCGUGGAGAGGUGAGUGGAAUUCCGAGUGUAGAGGUGAAAUUCGUAGAUAUUCGGAAGAACACCAGUGGCGAAGGCGACUCACUGGACACGUAUUGACGCUGAGGUGCGAAAAGCGUGGGGAGCAAACAGG
rnacentral:rRNA from 1 species